rnacentral:rRNA from 1 species
UUCCAGACUCCUACGGGAGGCAGCAGUGAGGAAUAUUGGUCAAUGGGCGGAAGCCUGAACCAGCCAAGUCGCGUGAGGGAAGAAGGCCCUGCGGGUCGCAGACCUCUUUGGACGGGGAGCAAGGCCGCCGACGUGUCGGCGGAAGGAGAGUACCCGUAGAACAAGCAUCGGCUAACUCCGUGCCAGCAGCCGCGGUAAUACGGAGGAUGCGAGCGUUAUCCGGAUUUAUUGGGUUUAAAGGGUGCGCAGGCGGAGGUGCAAGUCAGCGGUCAAAUUGCGGGGCUCAACCCCGUACUGCCGUUGAAACUGCAUCCCUUGAGUGCGCGAGAAGUAUGCGGAAUGCGUGGUGUAGCGGUGAAAUGCAUAGAUAUCACGCAGAACUCCGAUUGCGAAGGCAGCAUACCGGCGCGCAACUGACGCUCAUGCACGAAAGCGUGGGUAUCGAACAGGAUUAGAUACCCUCGUAGUC